UUUUUUCAAACGAGGGCGCCAAGCUGGUCGCAGAGCCGAGAGAGCACGGGGACAUGGGUUUGAGCCCUGGUCCGGGAAGAUCCCACAUGCCACGGAGCAACUAAGCCUAUGCGCUACAGCUACUGAACCUGCGUGCUGCAACUACUGAAGCCCGUGCGCCUAGAGCCUGUGCUCCGCAACAAGAGAAGCCACCGCAAUGAGAAGCCCGCGCACCACAACGAAGAGUAGCCCCCGCUCGCCGCAACUAGAGAAAGCCCGCGCGCAGCAACGAAGACCCAACGCAGCCAAAAAAAAAAAAAAAAAGAUCAAUAUCAGCAGCCCAAACAGACUAAGACAGACUCAUACAGAUGGAAGACGAUGUGAGGACACAGAGAGAAGGCAGCUGUCUACAAGCCAAGGAGAGAGGCCUCCGCAGUAACUGACCCUGCCCACACCUUGAACUUGGACUUCCAGCCUCCAGAACUCCGGGUCCUCGAGAUGCUCCAGCCCUGCCUGUUUAUCUUGUGAGCUGCCGAAGGCCCACGCUCCCCCUGCCGCAGCUCCGUCCCCGUGUGAUUACAUCUUUCCUCGCCUGAAAGCAGCCCGUGGGCCCCAGAAGCGCUGGACGGUGUUCUCUGGGCCAAUGUCAAGACAGCAGUGAGGGGUCAAAUGCAAAAGGAGAAGCUGGCUGAAGGGGCUCGUGAUUCUUCAGGGGGCCCUGCUGGCAUUUGGGGCAGGACGGACCUGUCAGUGUCCUCAACCCCAUCAAGUAUCCAGUAUCCCUAGUCACUGGGCUGUCCCAACCCAACCCAACCCAAUCCCCACCCCCGCUUCCUGGUGGGACCACCCUGGGCUCCCGGCAGCUGCCUCUGAUCUGCUGUGUAGGUGAAGGGCCAGCCUUCUGCAGCUUCCGGGUGGAGAGCUGGUUCUCCUCGUCUGGACCCUCCUUCUCCACUGGGCAUCCCAGAGGCUCUGUGUCUGCUACCUUUCCGAGCUGCUCGGGCAUCCUAGAGGCCACACCCCCGAGGGGUAAGGGCAGAGGCCAGAGUGGGACGUCUGGUGGAGGAGAGGGGGCUUUGGCAUCACACAGACCCAGGGCUGAGCCCGCCUCUGCCUCUUACUGGCUCUGCGUUGGCCCUGAGUCAGCACGUGACCAGCCUGUGCUUGUUUUUUUUUAAAAACCAGUGGACACCCCAGGGCAUCCAAUCUGUGCCCAGGCAUCCAAGUGAGCCUCACUUUCCAUGUUUAUAAAAGGGAGCUCUCCACCCCGGUCUCACAGGGUUUGCCGGGCUCACAGGAAGAACGGUAUGUACCUAAAGUGUCUGAUGUUCCCAAGCCCCCUCUGAUUGUGGUGGCCCAGGGUAGACAGGGGACCGGAGGCAAAAAUUACACUCAGCUCCCCAGACCUGGAGAUUUUUGUUCAGAAGCCAAUAAAUCAACAACAUCGCGAGGAUUCGAUGCAUGUGCU